rnacentral:rRNA from 1 species
UACAGGGGGUGCAAGCGUUAUUCGGAAUGACUGGGCGUAAAGCGCGUGUAGGCGGUUUUUUAAGUCCGAUGUGAAAGCCCUGGUCUCAAGCCAGGAACUGCGUUGGAUACUGAAAGACUUAGAGUAUGGGAGGGGGUAACGGAAUUCCCGGUGUAGAGGUAAAAUUCGUAGAUAUCGGGAGGAACACCAGUGGCGAAGGCGGUUACCUGGACCAUUACUGACGCUGAGACGCGAAAGCGUGGGGAGCAAACAGG